rnacentral:tRNA from 1 species
GGGGGAGUGGUCUAACUUGGUAUGAUGCCUGCCUUGGGCGCAGGAGGUUCCAGGUUCAAAUCCUGGCUCCCCCA